rnacentral:siRNA from 1 species
CUAGGAUGGGUGACCUCCCGGG